rnacentral:rRNA from 1 species
GACGAACGCUGGAGGCGUGCUUAACACAUGCAAGUCGAACGAUGAAAUGGAGCUUGCUCCAUGGAUUAGUGGCGAACGGGUGAGUAACACGUGAAUAACCUGCCCUUAAUUUUGGAAUAACCCAGGGAAACCUGGGCUAAUACCGGAUAAGUAAACCUGUGGCAUCACAUGGUUUUGGAAAGUUUUUCGAUUAAGGAUGGAUUCGCGGCCUAUCAGCUUGUUGGUGAGGUAAUGGCUCACCAAGGCGACGACGGGUAGCCGGCCUGAGAGGGUGAACGGCCACACUGGGACUGAGACACGGCCCAGACUCCUACGGGAGGCAGCAGUGGGGAAUAUUGCGCAAUGGACGAAAGUCUGACGCAGCGACGCCUCGUGAGGGACGAAGGUCUUCGGAUUGUAAACCUCUUUCAGCAGGGACGAAGCGAAAGUGACGGUACCUGCAGAAGAAGCACCGGCUAACUAUGUGCCAGCCGCCGCAGUAA